ACCAAGCUUGACAUCUUAGCCACUAGACUGCACAUCAAAAUUAACGGGUCCUUCACCAGCUUCAAUAUCAUUAACUCCAGUAAGCAAGUUCCCAAGAGGAUUCUGAUACUCCAUGUUACCAUGCAUCGUCCCCACAAAGUGUGCAUCAUCAAGUACAGGUAUAGGAUUCUGUGAAAUAUUUUAGGUGUCCCUGUCCUGGACAACAAAUAUCCCUUCCUGAAUCAUUCUUUCUAUCUCUCUUUUCAAAUCCCGACAAUUUUCGACAUUGUGCCCCCUGGGCACUGGAAUGGUAUUCACACCUUUUAGAAGGGUCAAAGCUUCUUGCGAUGUCCACAUGAUUCGGAGGAAUAGGUGCAAUCAUGUCAUAAUGCUUUAGUUUCUCAAACAAGCUUGCGUAGGACACUCC
rnacentral:lncRNA from 1 species